rnacentral:ncRNA from 1 species
GAUGAGCGGCAUGAGCCUGCAUAGAAUUAAGUAGUUGGUCAGGUAAAUUCUGACCAAGCCAAUGAUGCUUAGCUGGUCUUUUCGGAUAAUCAGCCACACUGGGACUAAGACACGGCCCGGACUCCCACAGGAG